AUUGAACGCUGGCGGCAUGCUUUACACAUGCAAGUCGAACGGCAGCACAGGGAGCUUGCUCCUGGGUGGCGAGUGGUGAACGGGUGAGUAAUGUAUCGGAACGUGCCUGGUAGUGGGGGAUAACUACUCGAAAGAGUGGCUAAUACCGCAUGAGAUCUUUGGAUGAAAGCGGGGGACCUUCGGGCCUCGUGCUACUGGAGCGGCCGAUAUCAGAUUAGGUUGUUGGUGGGGUAAAGGCCUACCAAGCCUGCGAUCUGUAGCUGGUCUGAGAGGACGACCAGCCACACUGGGACUGAGACACGGCCCAGACUCCUACGGGAGGCAGCAGUGGGGAAUUUUGGACAAUGGGCGCAAGCCUGAUCCAGCAAUGCCGCGUGCAGGACGAAGGCCUUCGGGUUGUAAACUGCUUUUGUACAGAACGAAAAGUCUCUGGCUAAUAUCUAGAGAUCAUGACGGUACUGUAAGAAUAAGCACCGGCUAACUACGUG
rnacentral:rRNA from 1 species